CACGUAGGGGACGAGCGUUGUCCGGAUUCAUUGGGCGUAAAGCGCGCGUAGGCGGCUAGAUCAGUCUGCUGUAAAAGUCAAAGGCUCAACCUUUGAAAGCCGGUGGAUACUGUCUAGCUAGAGUCCGGAAGAGGCGAGUGGAAUUCCUGGUGUAGCGGUGGAAUGCGCAGAUAUCAGGAGGAACACCAACGGCGAAGGCAGCUCGCUGGGACGGUACUGACGCUAAGGCGCGAAAGCGUGGGGAGCGAACAGG
rnacentral:rRNA from 1 species